GACGAACGCUGGCGGCGUGCUUAACACAUGCAAGUCGAACGGAAAGGCCCUGCUUUUGUGGGGUGCUCGAGUGGCGAACGGGUGAGUAACACGUGAGUAACCUGCCCUUGACUUUGGGAUAACUUCAGGAAACUGGGGCUAAUACCGGAUAGGAGCUCCUGCUGCAUGGUGGGGGUUGGAAAGUUUCGGCGGUUGGGGAUGGACUCGCGGCUUAUCAGCUUGUUGGUGGGGUAGUGGCUUACCAAGGCUUUGACGGGUAGCCGGCCUGAGAGGGUGACCGGCCACAUUGGGACUGAGAUACGGCCCAGACUCCUACGGGAGGCAGCAGUGGGGAAUAUUGCACAAUGGGCGGAAGCCUGAUGCAACAACGCCGCGUGCGGGAUGACGGCCUUCGGGUUGUAAACCGCUUUCGCCUGUGACGAAGCGUGAGUGACAGUAAUGGGUAAAGAAGCACCGGCUAACUACGUGCCAGCAGCCGCGGUGAUACGUAGGGUGCGAGCGUUGUCCGGAUUUAUUGGGCGUAGAGGGCUCGUAGGUGGUUGAUCGCGUCGGAAGUGUAAUCUUGGGGCUUAACCCUGAGCGUGCUUUCUAUACUGGUUGACUUGAGGAAGGUAGGGGAGAAUGGAAUUCCUGGUGGAGCGGUGGAAUGCGCAGAUAUCAGGAGGAACACCAGUGGCGAAGGCGGUUCUCUGGGCCUUUCCUGACGCUGAGGAGCGAAAGCGUGGGGAGCGAACAGGCUUAGAUACCCUGGUAGUCCACGCUGUAAACGGUGGGUACUAGGUGUGGGGUCCAUUCCACGGGUUCCGUGCCGUAGCUAACGCUUUAAGUACCCCGCCUGGGGAGUACGGCCGCAAGGCUAAAACUCAAAGGAAUUGACGGGGCCCCGCACAAGCGGCGGAGCAUGCGGAUUAAUUCGAUGCAACGCGUAGAACCUUACCUGGGUUUGACAUGGAUCGGGAGUGCUCAGAGAUGGGUGUGCCUCUUUUGGGGUCGAUUCACAGGUGGUGCAUGGCUGUCGUCAGCUCGUGUCGUGAGAUGUUGGGUUAAGUCCCGCAACGAGCGCAACCCUUGUUCACUGUUGCCAGCACGUUAUGGUGGGGACUCAGUGGAGACCGCCGGGGUCAACUCGGAGGAAGGUGGGGAUGACGUCAAGUCAUCAUGCCCCUUAUGUCCAGGGCUUCACGCAUGCUACAAUGGCUGGUACAGAGAGUGGCGAGCCUGUGAGGGUGAGCGAAUCUCGGAAAGCCGGUCUCAGUUCGGAUUGGGGUUUGCAACUCGACCUCAUGAAGUCGGAGUCGCUAGUAAUCGCAGAUCAGCAACGCUGCGGUGAAUACGUUCCCGGGGCU
rnacentral:rRNA from 1 species